UCCUAUAUGAUGAUUAUCAUGUGUAGUUCCUAAACAUUAAUAUGAGGUGCUUGGUUGGCUGAUAAAUAAUUUCCAUGCAUGCUAGCCCGACGCUAUACUUUUAUAGUCAAAUAUGUUAAAUUAUUAUUAUUUCAGUGAAGCAAAGUCUCUGAGUACUCCAUGAAAAAACACAAAUGCAAGUGAAAUGCUCUACAGCAAACUGCAGUAAGCAAAUGAAAAUGUCUGAACUGCUGUGAUUUUGAAAGAUUGAGCGUUUCUUUCUAACAGUUUUGAAUUAUGACUAUAUGGGGGGAAAAAACAAUCACAACAAACAGUUUUAUUUGAAUUUGCACGUGAUAUUUUUCUGAGGAGCCAUCACAUCGUCUGAGCUGCACUUUUGAGACAUCCGUGUUCAUUCGAGGGAAGAUUCUUAUUCGCUGCAGGUUGGAGCAACAAGUUCUCAGAUACAUAACGAAGGACUGAGUGAGCAUCAGUGCAAUUUAAUGAUCUUCUUUUUGUACCCAGUUGCUAAGCAACCUACACCGUUCUGUCUGAAGCCACAGCAUCCCAAAAGAAACAUCACGUCAUUGGUCUGAGGAGCGGAGGAAUGAUAACAGGGAAUGCAAAGCCAUGGGGGUUUAAGCAGUCUCUUUAUUUUUUAUUUUUUUUACUCUCUCAAGGUGCUCACAUGCUACGUUUGCAAUAGCACUUUUGUAUGGAUUAAAGCAAGUGUUUCACUGUAACCAAAGGUGUGAUAAUAUGAAGAGAUUUAAUCGCCUUCUGCUUGGUGGUCUAAGCAUGGAGACGUGACUGUUACAGUAGUCAAGGCUGGAGCCCCUUGUGUAAGCCUGCUGGGCUAAUCUAACAACCAUUCCUUGUCUGGAGAGCACAUGGAGGGGGCCUCUUUUGUUUAGAUGCCAUUAACCGAACACCGGUGUCGUAUGGGGAGAAAAAAGGAGCGAAUUUAAACCAACUGCUUUAAGUUUCUCCCUCUGAAAACCACUGCUUCAGGGCCUGACAGCGGUCUGGUUUUGGCAGCGAGCAGGAGAGAAGCACGUUCAGGACAGGAAGGCUUCAGCAUCACCCACUAUUCACUCCCUCUCUGAGUCAAUUUUCUGCUGUGAAUCAUAGAGGUGGAGGGGAAAAGAGAGAAAUAAGAUGGAGUGAGAGCUGUUUCUACAAAGCCACAGCUUGAGCGAAAUCAAGCAUUUCUGUUUCCCUUCUCCCCAAAUCCCAGGAGAGGGCUGCUUUUCCUUCUGCGGUUGUUGUUCUGGCUCCACCGCACAGAGAAAUCACAGAAAGCAAAGCUUUUUUUAAGACAACAGUGGGCAACAAAUGGGCUUGGUAAACUUCUGAGAGGACAGACGUCAGAAUUGCACUUUUUGCCCACUGAGGCAAUUGAUGCUUUGUGUAUAUGAUUAUAGGAAUUCAUUAAACAUUUCCGCAGGGUUAAAGUGAUCAUUUCUGUGACCCUAUUUGAUUUUGUAAUAUUCUAUAUUCAGUGUAGUUUUGCUUUGUUUUUGUACACAAAAUUAUGCAGAGAUGGUGGAGGUGCUUAUUUCAGCCCUGAGUGGUGCCUGCAGGCUUUCUCAGGCUGCAUAUAGGGACUCAAGAAGCUCCAGUAAGAAUAUAGGGUAGACUGUAUGUAGCUUGAGAGGCAAAACCCAGCACUCUUUGCUUGUUUAUUGCUGUGAGCACACGGUAAUAAUUGAAAGGCGACUGAGAUGAGUGCAUUAACAUUUUUGACAUCUUCUCUCUGGCUGGACAGCAAGAGGACAAUUAGAAUUUUUAGUAGGAAAAUCAAACAGAAAAAAAAAAAUGAAUGGGACAAAAAUAGGAUUUUGAGAAGUGAGGGUGACAUGCCCCGCCCAUCCCAGUGGAAAUUAUGCCCUUGCCUUGUUAUAAAGUAUUUUUCAAAGCACUAUUUACAUUUAUUUAUUUAUUUUUUUAAUUAUCUAAAGUACAGUUCAUAAUAUAAAUUGUAGUUUUAAUGGCAAGCAUGAUGACUGCCUCGGACCAGACAGUUUGACUAAAUUCAGGAAAUACCAGUGCACAUUCUGCUACUGCUCUCAGCAUACCUUCACUACAGCCUUCAUCAUACUGAAUGCUGCCCUCACUUGGUAAUGAAUGCCACUUCUUUCCUGCUGGCAGCUCUUUGUCAUCUUCCUUCUAGCUAGCCUUGGCUUCCCCUUCAAAAGCUUUUACUGGAGUUUUGAAGUGAAUCAGUCUCCACGGCUUCACUUCUCCCAAGCUGGCACCAUGUGGCAAGCUUGUCAAUUUUUUGUUAGUUGAAAACAAAACAAUUUGUGUGUGUUUGGCAUGCAUGUGAGGGUGCCAGUGCUGCUGGCUGUUUCCUAAAUCUGGUUGCAAGCUUGGCACCAGAUUCCUGUAGCUCAAACAUGUUUGACUGUAGUUGGAUGCAAAAAUUUGUCAUGUGGGAUUUAUUAUACUCUUACAUAUGUUUUCAUUGGUGAUGCAUCAGACAUGGCACUUGUUGCCCAGAGAUUUAAAUUCAUAAUGUUGCCAGAUAUGAUCUAUGUGUGGUUGAGUACAUUAGUGGGAAAUAUAAAUCACUAGAGGUGGCUGGCCGAGCUUUGUUUUCAUUUGAAGUUAUUUCAGUUAAAUUGUGAUGGCGCUCUCAGGUUGUCCACUAUCACCUGAGGGACAAGAACAAUUUAUCAAAUUGUAGAUCAAAUUGAAUGCAGCUGACCAUAUCACUGCAAUAUACUUGUCCAGAAUAUAUCCCUAUUUAUAGGAUACUCAGCAUUAUCUUAGCACAGGUUCAUUUAAGGUGGCAGCAUGUUUUCUAAGCUCACUCAUCAAAUAAAAAUGGCUUUGCAAGCAUCCGAGGAGAAUUACACCACGCUUGUUGCUCACUGUAGCUUUAGGCACAUUUAAUGUUGUGGAAUAUUUCCCUUGUAUCAAGAUACUCCAAAAGUAUUGGCUGCAGCUUUUCCUAUCUUCAGCUUCUAUGCACAAUUACAUAUAUUACAGGCAAGGAGUGCUGUUCUGAGCUACAACACCAUACAUACUUGAUGGUGUAAUACAAUUAGCAAAAUCCAAAUUGCCAAAAUGCUGAAUCGAGGUUACUGUAUAUACUAACUGUUAAUGCUGUACAUUAGAAAUACGUUCUAGUAACUGAAAUGGAACUGUAAUGGGAGGAGGAAUAGACGUGAAACAAAGUGUUCUGAAAACAACCAGAAGCUAGUUAUUGUAGUGUGACCUGCUGACUUGGUCUGUUUACCACCACAGUCAGAAGUUGGAGCUGCAACAGAGGCUGUGAAUCACAGUUUGUGAAGCCAGUUAACGUAAUUAUUGAUAUUUUUUUAAUAACAAUAAAUGACAAUGUGAAAUCUACGUGACGGUGUGAAAGGGGUCGCUUGUAGUGGUGAAUCUACUGGGAAUUAUCACCUGAAUCUGCAGCUCCCCUCUGCUUUAUGGAGCUUUAUAGCGAAUUCCAGCUCAUUGUACUGCUCUUCAAUGUACAAUGCAACUUUAGUGUUUUGGUUCACUCUCACAGCUCUCAUUGUGCCAUUUUUGGCCGCAGUAGGCAGCUGUUUUCACUGAAAAAUCUGAAAACCCACUGUACGCAACCUGCACAGCAUCAUACAGACAGACACAGUUAGCAACUAGCUGGUGAACAUAGUGGAAUAUAGUGAUUAUUGGACUUACAGUCAAACAACUGCUGGAUGUGUAAAUAUGCAACUGUUUGCUAACAAGUUCGCCAUAUCAACUUAAAAGGUGGUGAUAUGUCAAUGCUGUAUUCACAGCUUGUUCCUGCUGCCCCCAAGUGGCCAAAAAAAUCAGUUAUUGCAGGUUUAAGAUACUUUGUCUUGCAGUUAUAACUUAAUCACACGGACAUUAUAUACAUUUUUAGGUUCAAUGUGACAUUUUGACGACUUUAAAACAUUCUGAGGAUAUCAUUAACUCCAAUGUCCAUCGCAUAUAUAUGUCCAUAACUCUGCCAAGAAAUCAUAGAAAUAAGAUGCUUCUUGUCUGUACAUUCAAUUCUCAAUUACAUCUGGGGGGCACAUUGUCAGACAUUGAAAAGCCCUGACCUAGAGCCCAAUCGGUUACAAUAGAUAAAGGAAUAUAAUUGGAUUGAGCUUCACAUAACCGACUCAAAUUCAAAAAUGACUUGCUUGGGUCAUCCUUAGUACACAUAAAUAUAAUAGCCAAAAGUACAUUUGUUAUAAUGAUCUGCUUACUUCAUGUUACACAAUCUCUGCUUUUAGGCUUGUAAGAAGUAUCUAACACUGUAGAUGUUAACUUAAAAUGUUUAUAUAUUAAAGUGCAAUGUUAAGUUAAAUACCAUACUUCUUUCUUAUAUGAAUGCAGUGUCUCUUGCAGAUUAUAAAUAACUGUCAUUAUGCCCAGCUAUGAGAUGAUUUUUUUUUUUUAACAAUGAGUGAGUUGUCAGUUGUAGACAGCUAAACAAACUGGCCCACUCCACAGAAAGUGAAUUUUCUUUAGUAAUAGUGUAUGGCAGAAUCCAAUAAAAGCUUUGACCCAAUGCAGUGACCGUGAGCAAUCCGUGUGCCUGUUUAAGUAAAUGGUUCAUUUGCCUUUACAUCUGUCAGCAAUUAGGUGUAAUUAUUUAAGCCAACAAGGGCAGCUUCAAAGAGUGAAAUGCAUCCCACAGUGCCGCUCGGGCGGGGAUUGUUUUCAGCACAUUAUUUUCCUCCUUGUUGUUUGUUCUCAUUUGAUCAGGACAGUCUGCACUUCAUCUUCUUUCGCAGUAUGCUUUGCUUAUUCAGGUUGUCACCACAUGGCUAGUGUGCAUGUUAUCUUGUUCUUGUUUGCUUUAUGCUGAAAUCCCUUUAUUCAUAUUCUUCUACACACAACAGACGACCUGCCAGCUGAUGUCUCUGUGUGAAAUAGUCUAAUAUAGGCUUUCACAAAAAAAAAAAAACUCUCAGUGCUCUGAUUCAGUAACACAGCAACACUGUUGGUGUACAUCUUUCUGCACCCAUUAAAGGGCCACUCUGCCUGCGCUGCUUACUCUGUGAUUAACAUGAAAAAAGCCAGGCUGUAUCUGCUCCUCAUGUUUAUUUAAUCAGGGUAAAUGUUGUGGGUUCUUGUGGCUCAUACUGAAUAUGUUUGUUUUUCAUUAAGUCCUGUGCUCUGCUGGCAUCUCUGCAGAAGGCCUGAUUUCCCUCCUAUUAAGAUGCAUAGUGGAAAAAUCCUUUUCAGCAACAGUAUUUUUAGGAAUAACUCCAACCUCCGACCCACUACAGGUCUGGUGUUACAUUGUCACUCUGGAAAUGUCUCGUUUUCUAAGCAUGAUUAUUGUGGCCACAAUGCAGCUAUUUGAUCGCUAUCUUUGAUACGAUAUGUGUGGCCCGCGCCGCUUUGUUUUAUUUGAGAAAAUCAGUUGUUGUGUGUCUCUCAGGAUGCCUGAUAAGACUGAAUGACACAAAUGGAAGCUGGUUGCAGAGAUCUCCCAUUACCAGAGCUCCCCUCGAUCCUGUCUGCCCUCCUAGAAGGAAAAAUAAUCUGUAUUUGUUGCACAGCCAGACACAGCCAGGAAAUCAGAUCGUCAUACACAGGAUAUCCCCUUGUCUUUUUUUGCGCACCCUUCUGACUCAAAUGGAAAAAAAAAAAAUCUGCUAUGAUGAGAUUAGUGCCAGGAAAUUGGCUAGGUGUCUUUGUGUGUGUCUGUGUACAUUUUGUGUGGACACAAUUUUGUCAGGCCCCACAAUUGUUUUGAGAGUGCUAUUAUGAGAAAGAAGGCAACUAAUGUAGAACAAACAUCUUGUAGAUGGUUAUGUCUGUCAGGGGAAUAAUUUACUGCCUACCUGAAAAGCUCUGCUAGCCUCACACAACUCCCCCCACUUGCUUCUGUGUAUAAUGCAGACAUUGGCUCAUCUGCACCUGAACAUUCUCAGCAGGUGUGUGUGUGUGUGUGUUUUUGUGUGAGCACCUGCAUCUAAUCUGAGAGACUACAGAAGGUAGACAGACGUUUGGACUAGGAGGGAAGUAUGGAGCGAGGAGGGGUUCCAGUUUUGAAGUUUUGCUUUGGCUUUUCUGGCACACAUUUCCAGUCUGUCUCAUACUGUAGAGCACAGUUUAUGGACAUAAUGUGAUAAAUCUGUCUUUUCCAAAUAAUGCUGUGGUACUCUCAAUUUCUCACCCUCCAUUACUUUAAUGGUUUUAUUGUUGAGGGAGGCGUCUGUAACCCUUUCCCAGUGGCUCAGACAAAGCAAGGCACCAUCAUCCCUGACUGAGAUUACACGUUCUUCAUUACAAUUCUCAUAAAUGAUGAUUAUUAUUUAUUAUUAUUAUUUAGGUAAUGUAUGGAGAUUACUUAAAGGCAGACUGAUGGUUUGUCUCAGCCAGCAACUAAAGUAAGUUUUACAAGAAUUUGCCAAAUUUUAAGAUUAGUGGCAAACUAAGAAACAGUUAGGAUACAUACAGGCAGCUUUCGUUUUUUGCUUGUAACAAUAACAAUUUGUUAUUAGAUUAAUGAGCGUGCUGUGGUUGAGCAAAACAACAACUGCGAACAAAGCAUGGAAUUAUCACUUUUCUACUUUUUUUUAUCAAGAUGUCAACUCGAGUAAAACGUUACCUUCACUUCACCUGGUUCACUCACUCCAGUGCGUGUGUGUGUGUGUGUGUGUGUGAGAGUGCGCAUACAGUGGGGUGGGGUUGCUGACUGACUGGGAGUGAGAGAUGCUUUGCUGACGCAAUGGCACAAAGCACAAUGUUAGAGAUCUUUUUACAUUGUAAUCGGUUAUAUUUUGUAUUACUGUACAUAGCAAACAUAAUGGAUAAAACAGUAUGUUCUGCAUGUGAACUGCAGAAGGACUCUGGGAAAGCGAUAGGUUUUCAUGUGUCACUUCAGGGUCCUCACAGCUGAAGUGCGACAAUUAUGUGUGGAUGUGAGUGCUUGAACUAUAUCCUAUUUGUGCAGCACAGGCAAAGAUGCUUUAGAUCUCAAAAUAAGAAUUACACCAAGUUGCACUGAAGCAUUGUGUUUAGAAAUUGUUCCAUCUAGCUUUAAUGGCAGCCUUGAGACACAUACCAGAGAAUAAAUACAGUUAAAACCUUCUAAACUCACACUUCAACACUUUACAAAUUUGCAAUAGCUUCAAUCAAGCUGGAAUUCAUUCAUUCAAAUUUACAAGCAAAGAAAUUUCCUGACUUCUCCCUCAAGGAUUUUCUCAAAGGCUUGCUCACCUACUUAGAAAAUGUUGAGGUAAAUGCAGCUGGAGUGUUUUUGUGAGUUCUCAGCAGAUUUUGAAUUAUGUGUUCACCUUUAAUUCUUCGUGUAUGGCACUGUUUUUAUUCACCACUAUUAAAUCAGCCCGAAUGUGGUCAGAAGCCAACAUGAAUGCUUAGUUCUACCACCUAACCAAAAUGAAUAAAAUAAUUAUUUUUUGUGUGAAAUUCUGUUUUCUACCCUUUUAACUUUCUGUUCCUUUGCCUGUAUUCAGGAGCUGCUGUCCUCCCAAGCAGCUCUCAGGUCUUUUCGUUCUGUGCUGCUGAAUGAUUUUUGGCUGGACUGCAGCAAAGCGGGGGCCGGCCCUGUAGAUGCGAAAGUCUGUCUGUGACUUACUGAGUGAAUGAGUUACUGAGUGAGUGAUGAAGAUUCACUUUUGGUCUGUCGAGUGUUGGAGUCUCCUGAUUGGCCAUUGCUCUUUCAAAAUGAAUGGGCACGAACAGUCCUGAAUUACGUCCUCGGGAGGUAACGCUCGACUCGAGGUGCGAUGAUUUCACUUUUGGCGCACACACCCUUGCGCCAGGAACACUGCAACGAGCAUAAACAAACAAAUAUUUACAGCGAGGCGCUGGCAGUCCUCUGACGUCUUCAGGUGGGCUUUCACAGCGGUUCUCUGAGGACUACAGAUUUCUGAAUUCAUCGACCAGACCAUGUUGUCUAUCUCUCCGAGGUAAGUAAAAUGCUUCACUAGCUUAGCAGACAGUUUACACCUCUCCUUGUUGCAACAACAGCUACAGUCAUGUAGGCUGAUCAUUGAAAAGGCGGAUACAGCACUGAAAUUUAGAGACAAUCUAAAUGGCAGUAGCGUUUAAAUGUGUUUUCCUGUUGAAAGCGAAUCUAGGCCCAUCGCCGAAGUGUACGGCGUACCGGUCUACCGGUACUUUGCGUAGCAUUGACUAACAUUAACCCGUAGAUAGACAGCGACAGACUUUAGAUACACAGAAUAUUAUAACAAAUUGUCUGUACACGCCAAGAAACGCUAUGGGGAGAAAGUGGAAAUAAGACACUGAUGAUUUUGCACAAAACAAACUGGCUACAUUUUGUUCCAAACCUCCGGUAAUUUCAGCGACACUACUAGUCGACAUGUCAGGGCUUUAAGCCUUGUUUGUACUCGCGAGACACUGUGGUGCGGGACUCCCCUAAGUCUGCAACUGUCUGAGAGUAUUGUUGGGUCACCAAUGAAUCGUUUGUGAAAAUGGAUACAAAGUUAACUCACAUUGCAGAGAAAAUACCGUAACUGCUUCACUUGUUUCCGUUCUCUGUAGAACCAGGAAUCAACAGGAGUCGCAGUGCCGAAUAUAUCAUGACAUCAGGAAAUAUGCUACAACUACAGCCAAGUGUUGAUCACUGAAUCGGCAGAUGCAGCCUAAUAGAAAGACACAGAGCACUCCAUGGCAGUGUAUAGGUUGUGCCAUAAGGUCUCACAGUGUCUGAGAUCAGUGGUUAUGUGCACAGACAAAAUGCGAUCCAACAAAAAAGAGUUUGUCCUUGUCAUUGGUCACUCACAUUUGAGAUGCUUUGUGAACGGCUAUGUUGCCAUGCCAGAGGGCCGGUUCAGCUUUGGCUUCAUGUCUACACCUGGAGGAGAUGCUGAUGCUUGGCGAAGGGAAAUAUGCCGAUGACCCUCCUCUCACUCCUGAUGUAGUCUGCCUACUUUACCCAGGCAACAACUUGAAGUCCAGCCGCACCACGGAGAUGGCCGCAAAAGAUUUUACGUCUCUUCUGAAAAGCUGCUUUGCAUCGCUUGCCCCAGCUUUUUGUGUUUGAUUUCAAUCUUGAAGAAAAAUACUAUCGAGUGGCUGCUCAGCUCUGUCGGCUGCUCCUCAACAGAAGCUUUCUUUCCAUUAUGUGAUAGGCAUCUGUGGUGUCAGGAUUGUGCUCACCUUAGUAAUGACUACAGGAUGGACAAACUGACAAAUCUGAUAUGGCAGACGUCAUACUGUGUAUUACACUUGCCUGUCUAUCCUGUUCCACUCCAUUGCGUCCGGUGCACCGACAUCAUCACCAGAAAAAACCAAAGCACUUCAGCCCUCAGCCAAAAGCCAGCCUCCCACCUGUCGCCCUGCCACACAUGCUUGUUCAUCUCCAGGGUGAAGUUAUUCCUAUGUACUACCCAUUAUCUUUCAUGCCUGUGGAGGAGCCUGCUUUUCUCCCCCAAAGUGAUGAGAUCUCUCCACCUCGCUCCUCUCUCUGUGUGCACCCUGGGACGUCCACCGACGCAGUUGUUGACGACAAGCGUACCAACUAUCACUCUGUACGUGUUGUUGCGUCAUCCAUGGUCCGUCAUGUACAGAUCAACAGGUGCCGCACCUCCUGCCACCCAGGUGCCCUCGUUAAGGACAUUAACACCUCCGCCCUACGGCUGCUACGUCAUCGGCCGUCUGUCUCUGCUGUUGCGAUGCACGUGGGCACAAAUGACCUUAAGAUGCAGCAAUCAGAGAAACUUAGAGGAUUUUGUCUUCCUCAUGGACAGUGUUUUGAACACUAAUAAGCAGUGCAUCAUUUCAGGCCCACUGCCCUCCCCCCGUUUUGGCAACGUAAAAUGUCACAAGCCACAUUACAAACAGAACAAGAACAGCAUUUUAACUCCUAAAAAAUAUUUCCAAAGUCAAAUCCAUCUUGUCUCGGUCUGACGCUGGAAAACUGGUUCAUGCAUUUAUCUUCUCCAGGCUAGACUACUGUAAUGCCCUUUUUGCUGGGCUCCCCAUAAAGUCUGUGAUGGCUCCAGCUCAUUCAAAAUGCUGUAGCCAGAGUACUCUAUAUAAUCUAUACUUAGAUCACUUCACUGGCUUCCGAUAAAAUACAGAAUUGAUUUCAAAAUAUUGCUCACUGUUUACAAAUCACUUAAUGGUCUAGCUCCUAAAUACAUCUCUGAUCUGCUCACUGCUUAUAAACCCUCCAGAACCCUCAGAUCAUCAGACACUGGUCUCCUAACUGACCUAUGAUCAGUAGUGAAUCUGGUGAUGAAUUUGUUGUCUUUUAAUAUGUAUUUCAAUAUGUAUUCAUGUCUUAUUUUAUUAGUUCACAUUUGUUGUAUGUGAAGCACAUUCAGCCUACAUUGUAUGAAAUGUGCUAUAUAAAUAAAUUUGACCUGAA